CACUCAUACUGUGAAACUGCGAAUGGCUCAUUAAAUCAGUUAUCGUUUAUUUGAUAGUACCUUACUACAUGGAUACCCGUGGUAAUUCUAGAGCUAAUACAUGCUUAAAACCCCGACUUCGGGAGGGGUGUGUUUAUUAGAUAAAAAACCGACGCCCUCCGGGGCUGCUUGGUGAUUCAUGAUAACCAAACGAAUCGCAUGGCCUUGAGCCGGCGAUGGUUCAUUCAAAUUUCUGCCCUAUCAACUUUCGAUGGUAGGAUCUGGGCCUACCAUGGUAUCAACGGGUAACGGGGAAUUAGGGUUCGAUUCCGGAGAGGGAGCCUGAGAAACGUACGUACACCCCCCCUCUUUUCUUUCCUUUCCACCGCUAACAUCUUUCGCAGGGCUACCACAUCCAAGGAAGGCAGCAGGCGCGCAAAUUACCCAAUCCCGACGCGGGGAGGUAGUGACAAUAAAUACUGAUACAGGGCUCUUUAGGGUCUUGUAAUUGGAAUGAGUACAAUUUAAACCCCUUAACGAGGAACAAUUGGAGGGCAAGUCUGGUGGACCGUUCAGUCUCGAGAUGCUGACGCCAGAGAUAGUGGGGCCCCCCGCAGGUUGGCUGCGGCGGGGGGUUACGCCCGCUAGUCGAGCGCCCACGGCAGCGGUGGGUGGGCGCCGGCGAGGUGACCUGGUACGGGGAAGCCUAAGGGCCCGCGGGCCUACGGUGAUCCCGUGGCGAGCCUCCCCCCCGAGCGGGUGGGUGGGAGGCCGUCGUAACGCGCGGAAAGGCACCGGCCGCCAGCCUUCGCUGGCGGCUCGAGGGACGUGCUGACCCAUCCGAAAGGAUGCCCCCGGCUGGAGCGCCCACCGCGCGAAGGCCGGGGGGGACGGGACCCCCCGUCCGGACGAGGAAUCGGCCAGCAGCCGCGGUAAUUCCAGCUCCAAUAGCGUAUAUUAAAGUUGUUGCAGUUAAAAAGCUCGUAGUUGAACCUUGGGUCAGGCUAGCCGGUCCGCCUUACCGCGUGCACUGGUUCGGCCGGACCCUUUCCUCUGGCAAACCGCAUGCCCUUCGCUGGGCGUGCCGGGGAACCAGGACUUUUACUUUGAAAAAAUUAGAGUGUUCAAAGCAGGCCUUUGCUCGGAUACAUUAGCAUGGAAUAAUGGAAUAGGACGCGUGGUUCUAUUUUGUUGGUUUCUAGAACCGCCGUAAUGAUUAAUAGGGACAGUCGGGGGCAUCAGUAUUCAGACGCGAGAGGUGAAAUUCUUAGACCGUCUGAAGACUAACUACUGCGAAAGCAUUUGCCAAGGAUGUUUUCAUUAAUCAGUGAACGAAAGUUGGGGGAUCGAAGACGAUCAGAUACCGUCGUAGUCUCAACCGUAAACUAUGCCGACUAGGGAUCGGGCGACGUUCCAAUCAUGACUCGCCCGGCACCUUACGAGAAAUCAAAGUCU
rnacentral:rRNA from 1 species